UGGGGAAUCUUGGACAAUGGGCGCAAGCCUGAUCCAGCCAUGCCGCGUGAGUGAAGAAGGCCUUCGGGUUGUAAAGCUCUUUUUACCAGGGACGAUAAUGACGGUACCUGGAGAAUAAGCCCCGGCAAACUUCGUGCCAGCAGCCGCGGUAAUACGAAGGGGGCUAGCGUUGUUCGGAAUUACUGGGCGUAAAGCGCACGUAGGCGGAUUGUUAAGUCAGAGGUGAAAUCCCGGAGCUCAACUUCGGAACUGCCUUUGAUACUGGCAAUCUAGAGUCCGGAAGAGGUUAGUGGAAUUCCCAGUGUAGAGGUGAAAUUCGUAGAUAUUGGGAAGAACACCAGUGGCGAAGGCGGCUAACUGGUCCGGUACUGACGCUGAGGUGCGAAAGCGUGGGGAGCAAACAGGAUUAGAUACCCCCGUAGUCCCUGAGCGGGCUGGCAAGGCGCAU
rnacentral:rRNA from 1 species